UACGGAGGGGGCAAGCGUUGUUCGGAAUUAUUGGGCGUAAAGCGUAUGUAGGCGGCUAAGUAAGUCAGGCGUGCAAGCCCGUGGCUCAACCACGGAAUUGCGUUUGAAACUACUUAGCUUGAGUGCAGGAGAGGAAAGCGGAAUUCCCAGUGUAGCGGUGAAAUGCAUUGAUAUUGGGAAGAACAUCUGUGGCGAAGGCGGCUUUCUGGUCUGUUACUGACGCUGAGGUACGAAAGCGUGGGUAGCAAACAGG
rnacentral:rRNA from 1 species